GAAUAUUGGUCAAUGGGCGAGAGCCUGAACCAGCCAAGUAGCGUGAAGGAUGACCGCCCUAUGGGUUGUAAACUUCUUUUAUAUGGGAAUAAAGGGUGCCACGUGUGGCAUUUUGUAUGUACCAUAUGAAUAAGGAUCGGCUAACUCCGUGCCAGCAGCCGCGGUAAUACGGAGGAUCCGAGCGUUAUCCGGAUUUAUUGGGUUUAAAGGGAGCGUAGGUGGACAUGUAAGUCAGUUGUGAAAGUUUGCGGCUCAACCGUAAAAUUGCAGUUGAAACUGCGUGUCUUGAGUACAGUAGAGGUGGGCGGAAUUCGUGGUGUAGCGGUGAAAUGCUUAGAUAUCACGAAGAACUCCGAUUGCGAAGGCAGCUCACUGGACUGCAACUGACACUGAUGCUCGAAAGUGUGGGUAUCAAACAGGAUUAGAUACCCUGGUAGUCCACACAGUAAACGAUGAAUACUCGCUGUUUGCGAUAUACAGCAAGCGGCCAAGCGAAAGCGUUAAGUAUUCCACCUGGGGAGUACGCCGGCAACGGUGAAACUCAAAGGAAUUGACGGGGGCCCGCACAAGCGGAGGAACAUGUGGUUUAAUUCGAUGAUACGCGAGGAACCUUACCCGGGCUUAAAUUGCAGAUGAAUUACGGUGAAAGCCGUAAGCCGCAAGGCAUCUGUGAAGGUGCUGCAUGGUUGUCGUCAGCUCGUGCCGUGAGGUGUCGGCUUAAGUGCCAUAACGAGCGCAACCCUUGUUGUCAGUUACUAACAGGUUCUGCUGAGGACUCUGACAAGACUGCCAUCGUAAGAUGUGAGGAAGGUGGGGAUGACGUCAAAUCAGCACGGCCCUUACGUCCGGGGCUACACACGUGUUACAAUGGGGGGUACAGAGGGCCGCUACCACGCGAGUGGAUGCCAAUCCCCAAAACCUCUCUCAGUUCGGACUGGAGUCUGCAACCCGACUCCACGAAGCUGGAUUCGCUAGUAAUCGCGCAUCAGCCACGGCGCGGUGAAUACGUUCCCG
rnacentral:rRNA from 1 species